UACGUAGGGUGCGAGCGUUAAUCGGAAUUACUGGGCGUAAAGCGUGCGCAGGCGGUUCGCUAAGACAGAUGUGAAAUCCCCGGGCUUAACCUGGGAACUGCAUUUGUGACUGGCGGGCUAGAGUAUGGCAGAGGGGGGUAGAAUUCCACGUGUAGCAGUGAAAUGCGUAGAUAUCAGGAGGAACACCCAUGGCGAAGGCAGUAAACUGGUCGACAUCUGACGCUGAGGCGCGAAAGUGUGGGUAGCAAACAGG
rnacentral:rRNA from 1 species